CUCAGAUUGAACGCUGGCGGCAGGCCUAACACAUGCAAGUCGAACGGUAACAGGAAACAGCUUGCUGUUUCGCUGACGAGUGGCGGACGGGUGAGUAAUGUCUGGGAAACUGCCUGAUGGAGGGGGAUAACUACUGGAAACGGUAGCUAAUACCGCAUAACGUCGCAAGACCAAAGAGGGGGACCUUCGGGCCUCUUGCCAUCGGAUGUGCCCAGAUGGGAUUAGCUAGUAGGUGGGGUAACGGCUCACCUAGGCGACGAUCCCUAGCUGGUCUGAGAGGAUGACCAGCCACACUGGAACUGAGACACGGUCCAGACUCCUACGGGAGGCAGCAGUGGGGAAUAUUGCACAAUGGGCGCAAGCCUGAUGCAGCCAUGCCGCGUGUAUGAAGAAGGCCUUCGGGUUGUAAAGUACUUUCAGCGGGGAGGAAGGGAGUAAAGUUAAUACCUUUGCUCAUUGACGUUACCCGCAGAAGAAGCACCGGCUAACUCCGUGCCAGCAGCCGCGGUAAUACGGAGGGUGCGAGCGUUAAUCGGAAUUACUGGGCGUAAAGCGCACGCAGGCGGUUUGUUAAGUCAGAUGUGAAAUCCCCGGGCUCAACCUGGGAACUGCAUCUGAUACUGGCAAGCUUGAGUCUCGUAGAGGGGGGUAGAAUUCCAGGUGUAGCGGUGAAAUGCGUAGAGAUCUGGAGGAAUACCGGUGGCGAAGGCGGCCCCCUGGACGAAGACUGACGCUCAGGUGCGAAAGCGUGGGGAGCAAACAGGAUUAGAUACCCUGGUAGUCCACGCCGUAAACGAUGUCGACUUGGAGGUUGUGCCCUUGAGGCGUGGCUUCCGGAGCUAACGCGUUAAGUCGACCGCCUGGGGAGUACGGCCGCAAGGUUAAAACUCAAAUGAAUUGACGGGGGCCCGCACAAGCGGUGGAGCAUGUGGUUUAAUUCGAUGCAACGCGAAGAACCUUACCUGGUCUUGACAUCCACGGAAGUUUCCAGAGAUGAGAAUGUGCCUUCGGGAACCGUGAGACAGGUGCUGCAUGGCUGUCGUCAGCUCGUGUUGUGAAAUGUUGGGUUAAGUCCCGCAACGAGCGCAACCCUUAUCCUUUGUUGCCAGCGGUCCGGCCGGGAACUCAAAGGAGACUGCCAGUGAUAAACUGGAGGAAGGUGGGGAUGACGUCAAGUCAUCAUGGCCCUUACGACCAGGGCUACACACGUGCUACAAUGGCGCAUACAAAGAGAAGCGACCUCGCGAGAGCAAGCGGACCUCAUAAAGUGCGUCGUAGUCCGGAUUGGAGUCUGCAACUCGACUCCAUGAAGUCGGAAUCGCUAGUAAUCGUGGAUCAGAAUGCCACGGUGAAUACGUUCCCGGGCCUUGUACACACCGCCCGUCACACCAUGGGAGUGGGUUGCAAAAGAAGUAGGUAGCUUAACCUUCGGGAGGGCGCUUACCACUUUGUGAUUCAUGACUGGGGUGAAGUCGUAACAAGGUA
rnacentral:rRNA from 1 species